CAAAAUGAUACCAUCCAACCUUUUUCCAAAUUUUAACCAUUCAAAUAAUAUAUUCAACACACCCACAUGUUGCUUUGAUGAUAUCACUCUGCAGAUCAUCACAAAGUAAUUUAAAAAAAAGAAAAAAUUGAUUCCAAAUGCUAAGAUUCAGCUUAAAAUUUAUCUUUCCACUGGUAGUGCUGCUUUCCACAAUGUUGAUGGUUGAUUCUUGAUUCUGAUUCCAAUCAAUUGUCAUCCUUAAAGCUUCCAACUUGAAUUAGUUUCUUAUUCUAGGUUCAGUUCUUGCCACUAAUCAAUAGAGACAAUGGUCCUCAGUGACUUGACAUCAAUUAAAUGCAUUUGGUAGCUAAGCAUGCGUGCAGCAUCUUGAACAUGAAUAAGCAUGACAUGUUAAUAAAGGUGAAGCAGAAAAAAAUAAAUAGUCUUUGCAAUUAUUUCAAAGAAUUUUCUCACUAACACCUGACACUGCCUCUCCACCUCGUCACUGUCAUCAGAUACUCCCAAAUUACAUGUUUCUCUUAUUAGCCUUCUACACUCAUCAAUCCAAACUCCACCACCAACCAAAUAAUAACAAUAAAUCAACGGCUCUUAUUGUUCAAUAAUUCGCAUAAGGGACCCACUUGGUACCUGAUUUUUCUAAUGAAAUUAGAGAAGUAAAUAUUUUAAUUUAACCAGUUGAAUGAGUAAUCUACCUUUAAGCAUGAAUGUCUGCUAAUGUAUGUCAGUUAAGUGAGGGAUAUACUUUUUAUUAAGUGAGCCAUAUGCUUUCAAGCAUACACAGCGGUUAGCCUGUUUGAUGGUUCUGAUGAGUAGUAAGCAUACACACCUUAUAAUAUGAUCAUAUCAACCAAAAAGGAAGAGAGAAACCUAAACUUGAAUCUAGUAGAUGAACAAUCACAGAUUUUCUGAGAAUUGAAGCAUAAUCACAGAGUUUCUUAUGCUAACUUAUCUUUCAGUAUUUGACCAUCAAACAGUGAACAAACAUAAUAAUCUAACAGAAAAAUUAUUCCUGUCUAGCUAAAUUUAUGUUCACUUACAACAGUAAAGAAACCCAAAUCAUUGAUGAUGAUGAUAGGAGGGAAUAUCAUACCCACAGAGCACCUACUUCGACGAGCUUUGGGACAAGGUGGCCGCUGAGGUGGAGAGCUACGAGAGACUCGAGGCCGCCAACGCAGGUUCCACCAAUGAAAAGGGCGGGAGCAAGACUGCGAGGAGCCUCGCUAUCGUGAUCAGAGGGAGGUGGAGAAGGAGGGAGAGCGGAGAUCUCAUGAUCGUCUAACUCGAUCACA
rnacentral:misc_RNA from 1 species